AGUGGCAGACGGGUGAGUAACAUGUAGGUAUCUACCCUUUGGCCUGGAAUAACACGAGGAAACUUGUGCUAAUACCGGAUAAGUCUUUACGGAGAAAGCUUUAUGCACCAUUGGAUGAGCCUGCACUUGAUUAGUUUGUUGGUGGGGUAAUGGCCUACCAAGACUUUGAUCAAUAGCUGAUUUGAGAGGAUGAUCAGCCACAUUGGGACUGAGACACGGCCCAAACUCCUACGGGAGGCAGCAGUGGGGAAUCUUGCACAAUGGAGGAAACUCUGAUGCAGCGAUGCCGCGUGAGUGAAGAAGGCCUUUGGGUUGUAAAGCUCUUUCGUCGGGGAAGAAAAUGACUGUACCCGAAUAAGAAGGUCCGGCUAACUUCGUGCCAGCAGCCGCGGUAAUACGAAGGGACCUAGCGUAGUUCGGAAUUACUGGGCUUAAAGAGUUCGUAGGUGGUUGAAAAAGUUGGUGGUGAAAUCCCAGAGCUUAACUCUGGAACUGCCAUCAAAACUUUUCAGCUAGAGUUUGAUAGAGGAAAGCAGAAUUUCUAGUGUAGAGGUGAAAUUCGUAGAUAUUAGAAAGAAUACCAAUUGCGAAGGCAGCUUUCUGGAUCAUUACUGACACUGAGGAACGAAAGCAUGGGUAGCGAAGAGGAU
rnacentral:rRNA from 1 species